UGACUACUGGCAGGAUCAACCAGGUAGCAUUCCUCUACGACACCGGCGCCCCGUCGCUGCUCGCCGGGCGGGCCGGGGAGCAGUCGGCGAGGGCCGGUGGUCAUUCUUUGGCUACAGUUGCUUUGGCCGGGUUCGGAACCCAGGCCUGUCUGUGUUUUCCACAUCCCCAGGCACGUGUCGGCUCGUUGGCCAGACGCACGGGCGGAUGACCCGUGGUUGGUUUCACAAGCCGCACGAACAUGUUGUCCUCGGCCGGCGCGUGGCCGUCAGAGGGCAAAGACGUCUCGUUGGAUCGUUUCCGCUUCGUAUCCGGGUAAGCAACACAG
rnacentral:misc_RNA from 1 species